AGCAGCCGCGGUAAUUCCAGCUCCAAUAGCGUAUAUUAAAGUUGUUGCAGUUAAAAAGCUCGUAGUUGAAUUUCGGGACCAAUUUGUUGGUCGUGCCUCGGUACGUACUGGUAUUAUUGGUUUCUCCCUUCUGAAGAACCUCGAUGCCAUUAAUUUGGUGUCGUGGGGAAUCAGGACUGUUACUUUGAAAAAAUUAGAGUGUUUAAAGCAAGCAUACGCUUGAAUACAUUAGCAUGGAAUAAUGAAAUAGGACGUUUGAUUCUAUUUUGUUGGUUUCUAGGAUCGACGUAAUGAUUAAUAGGGAUAGUUGGGGGCAUUAGUAUUCAAUUGUCAGAGGUGAAAUUCUUGGAUUUAUUGAAGACUAACUACUGCGAAAGCAAUUUGCCAAGGAUGUUUUCAUUAAUCAAGAACGAAAGUUAGGGGAUCGAAGACGAUCAGAUACCGUCGUAGUC
rnacentral:rRNA from 1 species